GACGAACGCUGGCGGCGUGCCUAAUACAUGCGAGUAGAACGCUGAAGGAGGAGCUUGCUUCUCCGGAUGAGUUGCGAACGGGUGAGUAACGCGUAGGUAACCUGCCUGGUAGCGGGGGAUAACUAUUGGAAACGAUAGCUAAUACCGCAUAAGAGUAGAUGUCGCAUGACAUUUGCUUAAAAGGUGCAACUGCACCACUACCAGAUGGACCUGCGUUGUAUUAGCUAGUUGGUGAGGUAACGGCUCACCAAGGCAACGAUACAUAGCCGACCUGAGAGGGUGAUCGGCCACACUGGGACUGAGACACGGCCCAGACUCCUACGGGAGGCAGCAGUAGGGAAUCUUCGGCAAUGGACGGAAGUCUGACCGAGCAACGCCGCGUGAGUGAAGAAGGUUUUCGGAUCGUAAAGCUCUGUUGUAAGAGAAGAACGAGUGUGAGAGUGGAAAGUUCACACUGUGACGGUAUCUUACCAGAAAGGGACGGCUAACUACGUG
rnacentral:rRNA from 1 species